rnacentral:rRNA from 1 species
UACAGAGGGUGCGAGCGUUGUCCGGAAUCACUGGGCGUAAAGGGCGAGUAGGCGGCUUUUCAAGCGUGUGGUGAAAGCUCGGGGCUCAACCCCGAGUCGGCCAUGCGAACUGGGAGGCUUGAGCACGGUAGAGGCACAUGGAAUUCCGGGUGUAGCGGUGGAAUGCGUAGAGAUCCGGAGGAACACCGGUGGCGAAGGCGGUGUGCUGGGCCGUAGCUGACGCUGAAUCGCGACAGCGUGGGGAGCAAAC